GACGAACGCUGGCGGCGUGCUUAACACAUGCAAGUCGAACGGAAAGGCCCUGCUUUUGUGGGGUGCUCGAGUGGCGAACGGGUGAGUAACACGUGAGUAACCUGCCCUUGACUUUGGGAUAACUUCAGGAAACUGGGGCUAAUACCGGAUAGGAGCUCCUGCUGCAUGGUGGGGGUUGGAAAGUUUCGGCGGUUGGGGAUGGACUCGCGGCUUAUCAGCUUGUUGGUGGGGUAGUGGCUGACCAAGGCUUUGACGGGUAGCCGGCCUGAGAGGGUGACCGGCCAGAUUGGGAGUGAGAGACGGCCCAGACUCCUACGGGAGGCAGGAGUGGGGAAUAUUGAACAAUGGGCGGAAGCCUGAUGCAGCAAGCACGCGUGCGGGAUGGCGGACUUCGGGAUGUAAGCCGCUUUCGCCUGUGACGAAGCGUAAGUGAAGGUAAUGGGUAAAGAAGCACCGGCAAACUACGG
rnacentral:rRNA from 1 species